UACAUCUCCUAUUAAAAAGGAAUAGAUAAGGUUUUAAAUGGAUAAAAAUUAGGAAUUGAUUUUACAUGAGAGAGGUGGAGAUGGGAGCGUGCAUGGCUGUGGAGGGGGUGGGAUGCGGUACUGCAGGGAGAGGUGGGGUAGAUGUGCGACCAAAAGGAGGGCGAACGGAGUUGGAUACGGUCACCAGGAGGGGAAAGGGAGUACGACAGGGGCAAGGAGGAGAUAGGGUCGGCCAAGGGGGAAGGCGGAGAGGAGAUCGGCCAGAGAGGAAUAAAAAAGAAAAGAGAAAAAGAAAAGGGAAAAAAAAGAAAGAAGAAAGAAGGGAAAAAGGAAGGAGAGAAAAAA
rnacentral:lncRNA from 1 species